GUGAAAGAAAGUGUAGAAGUUGCCGUUGUGGGUCAGUCCUCCUUAACCCACUGAGCGAGGCCAGGGAUUGAACCUGCAUCCUCAUGGAUGCUAGUCAGAUUCCUUUCUGCUGAGCCAUGAAGGGAAUUCCAAAGCAGUGUCUUUUUGACAUUAGUCUUACUCAGGCCACUUCAGCCAGUCAUCUCACAAAUGAGUAUUGAUGGUUUUAUGUGGAGCUAGAUGAGAUGCUGGGUGAGGGCCUUUCCCUAUUGGUCCUAAAAUGACACCUUGGAGCACAUCUCAAUGGCCAGCAGCAUUAUCUUUGCUUGGCGAGACCAGUCCAUGGGGUAGGAAGUACCCUUUGGUGAGCAUCUGCUCUGAAGACUUUACUGAUGUUCACGGGUAGUUCUAAGUCCAAGAGCAAAUGACAACAUGAGAGGAUCUCAGCUCUUCUAGGAUAGUUUCCUCUCACUGAGCUACCUUUGCCCCUGGGAUUGGAAGAGUCAAUCAAACUUGUGACUUGGGUCAUCUGGAAGGGAAGUAUUGAGUGGGGUUACACACUAUAAAGAUAUUUCCACUUCCCAGUAGAAUAUACUCCAAGGUUAUAGACACAUUUAACACAAGGGCAAAAAAAAAAAAAAAAGUCAAGACUUCAGUUUAAUUCUUCUUUAUUUCUGCUCUUUGAACACUAAAAUUGUGUUUUCUUCACUUAGAAUUUUUCAGUGAAGGUUAGGGGCUUAUCAGAACUUCCUUUCCAUUCUGGCACUGGUUUAAUUUUGUAGGGUUAUUUUAAUGGAGUUGUUUCCCAAUUAAGCAAAAAUUUUCAGGAACAUCUCUGUGUUUAAGGUAGCUUAAUAUACCUAUAAAAAGCCAAGAGCUAUUCAAACCGGCUGGUUAUGAGUUCCUCAUGAGAUGGGUAAUGGUGAGUUCAAUACUGACAUUGGCAGUUUCUUUAAAAAUGGAGAAAUGUACCAUGGGGAGUUCCCACUUUGGUACAGUAGGUUAAAAAUCCGACUGCAGCAGCUUGGGUUUCUGCAGAUGUGCGAGUUCAAUCCCUGGCCCAGUGCAGUAGGUUAAAGGAUCUGGCAUUCCUGCAGCUGUGGCUUGGAUUCAGUCCCUGACCUGAAAACUUCCAUGUGCCAUGAGCACUGCCAUUAAAAAAAAAAAAAGAUGGAAAACAAAUGCAUCAUGGAAUUUCUCAAAGUCCUAGAAGCAUAAAAGAAAAGAAUAUUCAAGUUUUCCCACAUGAGCACGGUGGUAGGAAUGGAGGUGAGGCGUUGUCACUUGUAAACCAAAGGAUAUAAGCCAAGUGAGAAAUCACUUGGGGUGCAGCUGAGAUCAGUAUCAUAUGGUGAAACUCACUGGGAUAUUUUAUUUCUUGUUUGGGGACAGAUGGACAAGAAGAUUUUCUCCAGCAAAGCUAAGCCUCUCCAUGUUCCCUAAAAGCUUAGAGGUAUUAUCUUCAACUCACCCCAAGCCAGGAAAUAGAACAACACACAUUUUUUGGUGUCCAAGGGGCCAGUGCUUGCAUUUGUCCAGUGAGGGAAUUGGCCCUUCUACACAACUUGUGAACUGAUACUCCUGCAGCAUGUUUGGUCCUUCCAGAGUCUUCUUUCUGAAGCCUUUUUGGACAACUACAGAUGUGGUUCUUUAAAAGCUGCCUGCAAGACAAGGUCCACUGAUGGGUGCUAAAAUUAGCAGGUGAACAUUUGUGGAGAAACAGGCUAUAUGUCUAAAGGUAUUUAUAAAUUACAAAAGGAAAAACAGUAACUUAUUGUGUGGCCAACAUAACAGUCACACCAGAAGCAGGUGAUCAGUGUUACUGUCGCUAAUAAUCAGGCAUAUCAACACCAUUUACCCUCUGAUACGAUGUCCUGAGAAGGGUCUGUUAUCAUCUCUCUGCUUUACCUUAAUUAUGAGAAAACAUCAGACAAACCCAAACGGAGGGACCGUCUGUAAGUUAAAUGGCUAGCACUCUUCAGAAGUGUCAGGGUCAGAAGAGACAAGGUAAAACUGAGGAAGUGUCACACAUUGUCGGUGCCUAAGGAGGGGUAGAUUCUGCAAUGGGAAAAGCAUAUUAGUGGAAAGACUGGUGAAAUCUGAAUAAAUUCUAUAGUUUAUGUAGUAGUACUGUAUCGCUCAUGUUAAUUUUCUGGUUUUGAUGAUUGUACCACAGUUACGGAAGAUGCCAGCACCAGGGAAAGCUGGGUGGAGGGUAUACACGUGUGAAUUCUCUGUACAAUUUUUGUGACUUUUCUCUAAGUCUAAACCUAUCUCUCUAAAUAAAAAGUUAAAAAAAAAGUUUCUUGGGAAAAAAAAAAAAAAACCCAAGCAGCAUCAUAUUGCCCUAUGAAGUGCCUUAGUGCCUCACUGAACCAGAUGGGGGUGCAUAAUUAUCUUCCUUCACAUUCUGUGUUUAAUUUCUACAAGUUGUAACUUGUGCAGCUUUUCAGUCUUGUGGGAAGCCUAGGAAAAUGAUAUUUCAUGUUUCAAGACUGAAAGGGUAAAAUUGAGAAGAGCCUCUCCAACUUGAUUUCACAAGCUUUAUUACUUGUGAGAAAUGUGUCUGUGAACAGGGAGAUACAAAUGAUGUAAAAGAUAUAUAUUUUUAAAGGCUGAAACAGAAGAGAGAAUUUAAGGCAGGAGGAUUGCCAAUUAUUUGAUUUUUUUCCCCUUAAAAGCUGUAUACUUCUUUGCAGUCAGAAUCCGUUUGUUUCAAAUCUUCAUUAAGCAGUGACACCAUUCAUCCAAUGGGUGCAUUGGCAUAAUGAGCUCUCAUAAAUACAGUGUUUGUGAUCUUUCUCGAAUUAUUAGAGUGAGGAAUGGGGGUAUAGUGAAAUCACACAGUACCCCAUCUACUUGGUCUAAAACAUACUUACAUAUGCCAUACCAAAUUAACAUCCUGUCAUAGUUUCUGCUUCCUCUCCACCCCCACCCCGUCUCUCUGUCUCCUCUCCUCUCCUCUCUCUCCUUUCUCUGUCUCACUUUGGUUCUCUCUCUCUUGCACCCACCCCUAAUCCCUAAUUGAGGCAGUUCAGGUCAAAUCAUGAUUGUUAAUGGAAAGAAACCAAGUCAUUUGUCACAGAGCUUAAUUUCGCCUGCACUGCCUGAUUUCCUGCUGUUAUUGUACUUACAGUAGAUGAUAAAAGCAGUUGCUACAGCCUCUUCAUAGGAAAACAAAUCCCAGCUGCAAUCUGAAUCAAAGCACCUGGGGCCGUGGAUCAGCUGGGAUCAAACAGCUGUUUUUCCAGCCUUGUUUUCUCCCCAGGUUCAUUGAGAUACACUGCGCCAUUUUGAAUAAAAGUUAGCUCCCACAUUUCCAAGUAAUGUGUUUGGUCUUAGAUGAGUGAGUAUUUGAGGUCACUCCUGAGAAAGGCCUCAGAGUCCUUUUCUCAUCAUACCACCUCAGAACUCACAGACUCCCUCUGGGUUUCUGAAACUGCAGUUCAUGGGCUUGGAACCACCUGUGUGUUAAGAUAGAGCUUGACUGUGUACACAUUGAAAAUUGGAAAGCCCAUACUGAGAGGCCAGGAGGACAGGUUCUUCUUGUGGGGAAAGGAUAAAAUACUUAACCGAGCAUUUGUAGAAAUGAUAAUUCCCCAGAAUCCCAUGAUUUGAACAAUUUGCUCCAGUUUUCGCCGUGCUAAUGGCCUGUUGACUACAGAGGUGAUGCUGGUUUUGAGACCUUUCUUACAGAUGGAUAAACAGGUAUGAUAGGCAUGUCUUUAGUCAUAAAGGAGGCUCAAAAGUAACCUGAUAGCUGCUGGUCAUGAUCAGCCUUCUGGCGAGACAUCUCCACCCCCAAAACAACCACAUGGGGCUUCCCUGGGGCCACUCUGAAAGGCACAUCACUAAGAGAGUUAUCUUCCCUUUCUGAAAUUCAACCCUGGCCAUGGCUCCAUCUAGGCUGGAGUGUAUGAAUAGGGUGUGUGUGUCCUCUCUCUCUGUGUGAGUGGGGUAAAGUGCUACCUGGCAUGAGAGAGGACAGAGCCUGAGAGGAGAGACUGAGGGAUGCCAGACAUCCCCCAGAUGAAUCAAUUGUAACUUCCAGAACCAUUGCCUUUGAAGACUCGUUCUAGGUUAGAGGUUUCCAAGUCUAGCUGAACACCUAAGUCACCUGCAGAAGCUUUAAAAAUGCAAAUUUCAGGGCUCCAUCCUAGCCUUAGUGGAUCAGAACUUUUAGGGGAAGGGCCAAGGAAAAAGUCUUUCCCAAAAGCCCAGCAGGUGGCUCAGACCAAGGUCUGGGUCUGGAAAUCACUGCUCCUGACCACUAUUAACCAAUCAUUAUCCCCUGUCUUGAUGGGAUACUGUGACUAAGUAAUAAGAAAAAUACCUUAGGGAGUUCCAUGGUGACUUAGUGGUUAAGGAUCUGGCAUUGCUAUUGCUGUGGCUCAGUUUGAUCCCUGGCCUGGGAAUUUGUGUAUGCUGUGGGCACAGCCAAAAAAAAAAAAA
rnacentral:lncRNA from 1 species